UACAGAGGUCUCAAGCGUUUGUUCGGAUUCAUUGGGCGUAAAGGGUGCGUAGGCGGCGCGGUAAGUCGGGUGUGAAAUCUCGGAGCUUAACUCCGAAACUGCAUUCGAUACUGCCGUGCUUGAGGACUGGAGAGGAGACUGGAAUUUACGGUGUAGCGGUGAAAUGCGUAGAUAUCGUAAGGAACACCAGUGGCGAAGGCGGGCUCACUGGCCCGGUACUGACGCUGAGGUGACGAAAGGCGGUGGGGAGCAAACAGGG
rnacentral:rRNA from 1 species